CAGAUUGAACGCUGGCGGCAUGCCUUACACAUGCAAGUCGAACGGCAGCACGGGGCAACCCUGGUGGCGAGUGGCGAACGGGUGAGUAAUACAUCGGAACGUGCCCUGUAGUGGGGGAUAGCCCGGCGAAAGCCGGAUUAAUUACCGCAUACGCUCUACGGAGGAAAGGGGGGGAUCUUAGGACCUCCGCUACAGGGCGGCCCAUGGCAGAUUAGCUAGUUGGUUGGGUAAAGGCCUACCAAGGCGACGAUCUGUAGCUGGUCUUAGAGGAYGAHCAGCCACACUGGGACUGACACACGGUCCAGACUCCUACGGGAGGCAGCAGUGGGGAAUUUUGGACAAUGGGGGCAACCUUGAUCCAGCAAUGCCGCGUGUGUGAAGAAGGCCUUUCGGGUUGAAAAGCACUUUUUGUCCGGGAAAGAAAACGGCCGUUGGUUAAUACCCGUGGCGGUAUUGACGGUACCGGAACCDGRAAGAAUAAGCACCGGCUAACUACGUGCCAGCAGCCGCGGUAAUACGUAGGGUGCAAGCGUUAAUCGGAAUUACUGGGCGUAAAGCGUGCGCAGGCGGUCCGGUAAGACAGAUGUGAAAUCCCCGGGCUUAACCUGGGAACUGCAUUUGUGACUGGCGGGCUAGAGUAUGGCAGAGGGGGGUAGAAUUCCACGUGUAGCAGUGAAAUGCGUAGAGAUGUGGAGGAAUACCGAUGGCGAAGGCAGCCCCCUGGGCCAAUACUGACGCUCAUGCACGAAAGCGUGGGAGCGCAAACAGGUUUAGAUACCCUGGUAGUCCACGCUGUAAACGAUGUGCAACUAGCCGGUCGGGUCUUCAUUGGCUUGGUAACGUAGCUAAGCGUGGAUAGUUGACCCCCUGGGGAGUACGGUCGCAAGAUUAAAACUCAAAGGAAUUGACGGGGACCCGCACAAGCGGUGGAUGAUGUGGAUUAAUUCGAUGCAACGCGGAAAACCUUACCUACCCCUGACAUGUAUGGAACCCUGCUGAAAGGAUGGRAGUGCCCGCAAAGGGAGCCAUAACACAGGUGCUGCAUGGCUGUCGUCAGCUCGUGUCGUGAGAUGUUGGGUUAAGUCCCGUAACGAGCGCAACCCUUGUCCCUAGUUGCUACGCACNNNNGGNGGGAACUCUAGGGAGACUGCCGAGUGACAAACCGUAGGAAGGUGGGGAUGACGUCAAGUCCUAAUGGCCCUUAUGGGCUGGGCUUCACACGUCAUACCAAUGGUACAGGNACAGAGGACWCGCCAACCGCGCGGCGAGCCAAUCCUAAAACCGAUCGUAGUCCGGAUUGCACUGCAACUCGAGUGCGUGAAGUCGUGAAGCUGUAUCGCUAGUAGUCUCGAUCAGCAUGUCGYGGUGAAUACGUCCGCGGUCGUGUACACACCGCCCGUCACACCAUGGGAGUGGGUUUCACCAGAAGUGGCUAGUUUAACCKYAAGGAGGACCGGUUCACCACGGUAGGAUUAAUGACUGGGGUGAAGUCGUAACAAGG
rnacentral:rRNA from 1 species